UGUCACUCGGCUCGGCCCACUACC
rnacentral:ncRNA from 3 species